AACUUUUAACAACGGAUCUCGCAUCGAUGAAGAACGCAGCGAAAUGCGAUAAGUAAUGUGAAUUGCAGAAUUCAGUGAAUCAUCGAAUCUUUGAACGCAUCUUGCGCUCCUUGGUAUUCUGAGGAGCAUGCCUGUUUGAGUGUCAUUAAAUUCUCAACUACACUGACUUUGAUUGGUGUGGCUUGGAUUUGGGGGUUGUGGGCUUUUUGUAGUCUGCUCCCCUGAAAUUAAUUAGCGGUACCUUGGUGGAACUGUCUACAGGUGUGAUAAUUAUCUACAUCCUAGACAUCUGCUGGAAUGCUGCUUUCUAGACCUUACUUGUAUUGACAAUCUUGACCUCAAAUCAGGUAGGACUACCCGCUGAACUUAAGCAUAUCAAUAAGCGGAGGCU
rnacentral:misc_RNA from 1 species